rnacentral:rRNA from 1 species
GACAGAGGAUGCAAGCGUUAUCCGGAAUGAUUGGGCGUAAAGCGUCUGUAGGUGGCUUUUUAAGUCCGCCGUCAAAUCCCAGGGCUCAACCCUGGACAGGCGGUGGAAACUACCAAGCUGGAGUACGGUAGGGGCAGAGGGAAUUUCCGGUGGAGCGGUGAAAUGCAUUGAGAUCGGAAAGAACACCAACGAUGAAAACACUCUGCUGGGCCGACACUGACACUGAGAGAUGAAAGCUAGGGGAGCAAAUGGG